GAGGCCUCGUAAGAGGAGUUGAUUUUGAUAGUUCAUCAAAAUGAAAUCAGUGUUGAAGCAAUGACCCAGUGACCUUGCAAGUGGGGUUUACAGUAGGAAAGAUGUGAACUGAAUUUGCCUCUGCUCUGCUUUUAGAGGCACAAGGGUAUGCUUUCACAUGAGUAGACAUGCUAUCUAUGCCACGCAAGCUAUGUUAGUUUGAAUUGACUCAGACUACAUGAAUCCAAACUAGUGUGCUGCAUUCAACGCCUCUGAGAUUUAUUUGGAGUAAAAGAUCUGCGUCAGUCUAUGCACCAGAGCUCUUUUUCUUUCUCUUCCUUCACUCGUCAUGCACAUUUCAAGCUCUAUGGAAAAAUCUUAUGACAACUGUGAAACUGAACUUACAUUACCUCAACUGACCGGACCCAUUGCAGACUCUGAGAUGGAAUGUAUGCAUCACUCUUUGCCAAUUCAGAGGUUAUUUAAUAUGGUAUGUCUGGAACCAGCUUUUUUGUUGAAAUUGUUUUGGCUAAGAAACUAUCCAGAUGAGUCUACUGCAAAACUAUGUGCUUUGACUGGGAUUUUCAAAGACAGUCUGGAAUCACGCCACUCAAAAAUGGGCCAUGUUAGAGAUUACUUUUUUUGGAGAAUCUCUCUCAAACCUAAGUUUUUGUUUUGUUUUGUUCAUUUUUAUUUUAUUUAUUUAUAUAUAGGAUUAGCACAACUCAUGUAUGAAUGUAUUAUUGUAUGCAAAACUCUUUACAUUUCUUCCUCAAUUCUUUCACUGUCUGUGUGAAAAUUAUUUAAUAGAACAUCAGCAGAGAUAGUAUGAUAAAGACAGGGGAGAG
rnacentral:lncRNA from 1 species